rnacentral:rRNA from 1 species
UAGGGAAUCUUCCACAAUGGGUGCAAACCUGAUGGAGCAAUGCCGCGUGAGUGAAGAAGGUCUUCGGAUCGUAAAGCUCUGUUGUUAGAGAAGAACACGUGCUAGGUAACUACUAGCGCCUUGACGGUAUCUAACCAGAAAGUCACGGCUAACUACGUGCCAGCAGCCGCGGUAAUACGUAGGUGACAAGCGUUGUCCGGAUUUAUUGGGCGUAAAGGGAGCGCAGGCGGUCUGUUUAGUCUAAUGUGAAAGCCCACGGCUUAACCGUGGAACGGCAUUGGAAACUGACAGACUUGAAUGUAGAAGAGGAAAAUGGAAUUCCAAGUGUAGCGGUGGAAUGCGUAGAUAUUUGGAGGAACACCAGUGGCGAAGGCGAUUUUCUGGUCUAACAUUGACGCUGAGGCUCGAAAGCGUGGGGAGCGAACAGGAUUAGAUACCCUGGUAGUCCACGCCGUAAACGAUGAGUGCUAAGUGUUGGGGGCUUUCCGGCCCUCGGUGCUGGAGCUAACGUAUUAAGCACUCCGCCUGGGGAUUACGACCGCAAGGUUA